rnacentral:rRNA from 1 species
GUGAACGCUGGCGGUAGGCCUAACACAUGCAAGUCGAACGGCAGCACAGUAAGAGCUUGCUCUUACGGGUGGCGAGUGGCGGACGGGUGAGGAAUACAUCGGAAUCUACUUUUUCGUGGGGGAUAACGUAGGGAAACUUACGCUAAUACCGCAUACGACCUACGGGUGAAAGCAGGGGAUCUUCGGACCUUGCGCGAUUGAAUGAGCCGAUGUCGGAUUAGCUAGUUGGCGGGGUAAAGGCCCACCAAGGCGACGAUCCGUAGCUGGUCUGAGAGGAUGAUCAGCCACACUGGAACUGAGACACGGUCCAGACUCCUACGGGAGGCAGCAGUGGGGAAUAUUGGACAAUGGGCGCAAGCCUGAUCCAGCCAUACCGCGUGGGUGAAGAAGGCCUUCGGGUUGUAAAGCCCUUUUGUUGGGAAAGAAAAGCAGCAGGUUAAUACCCCGCUGUUCUGACGGUACCCAAAGAAUAAGCACCGGCUAACCUCGUG